AGCCAUGCGAGUCGAAUGGGAACCUAAACUUCCCAUGGCAAACUGCUCAGUAACACAUGAUCAACUUACCCUACAGAGAAAAAUAACCUCGGGAAACUGAGGAUAAUAUUUCAUAUUUGAAAAGGCUUGGAAAAGUUUUUCAAUUAAAGGAUAAGAAAAAUGGUUUUUGUUCGCUGUAGGAUAGGAUCGUGCUCGAUUAUGGUUGUUGGUGAGGUAAUGGCUCACCAAGCCGAUAAUCGAUAGGGGCCGUGAGAGCGGGAGCCCCGAGAUGGGUACUGAGACAACGACCCAGGCCUUACGAGGCGCAGCAGGCGCGAAACCUCCGCAAUACACGAAAGUAUGACGGGGUUACCCAAAGUGUUCAAUUAUGAACUGUGGUAGGUGAGUAAUGUUCCCUACUAGAAAGGAGAGGGCAAGGCUGGUGCCAGCCGCCGCGGUAAAACCAGCUCUUCAAGUGGUCGGGAUAAUUAUUGGGCUUAAAGUGUCCGUAGCCGGUUUAGUAAGUUCCUGGUAAAAUCGGGUAGCUUAACUAUCUGUAUGCUAGGAAUACUGCUAUACUAGAGGACGGGAGAGGUCUGAGGUACUACAGGGGUAGGGGUGAAAUCUUAUAAUCCUUGUAGGACCACCAGUGGCGAAGGCGUCAGACUGGAACGUGCCUGACGGUGAGGGACGAAAGCCAGGGGAGCGAACCGGAUUAGAUACCCGGAUAGUCCUGGCCGUAAACGAUG
rnacentral:rRNA from 1 species